GUUUAUUCCUCUUCGUAGAAUCUCCAUCAAGUUCUUUAUGCUUCAACACUUAAUUUCUUACUUGUUCCUCUUAUUUCCAGGAGGCUGCUAGAUUUUUGCAAUCAAAAAAUAGAGGUAUUGAUCAGGAGGUCAAAUACAAGCCUCUACCUGCAGGCCCAAGCACUAGCACUCGUUCAGAGACCAAGGAAUCUGAAAAAGCAAAGGUCUCUAUUCUUGAGAAUAUUUACUAGAAGGAAGUUUGUGUACUUUCUGUAGUGUGGAUCGUUGUCCUUGGACUGCAGAUCGCCAAGGUUUUAAUCAGCUUUGUGCAUAUUUUCUUUCUAGAAGUACUCUAUGAUUAGUUUUCCUUUGCUUCUCGCAUCAAUGAGCUAGAUUGAUGGAUUUCUCUUGUGAUGGAUACAGAAUCAUACAACUACUUGUUCGGUUCUGUAUUGGGUACUAAACAAGCCUCUACCUGCAGGCCCAAGCACUAGCACUCGUUCAGAGACCAAAGAAUCUGAAAAAUCAGAGGUCUCUAUUCUUGAGAAUAUUUACUGGAAGGAAGUUGGUGUACUUUCUGCAGUGUGGAUCGUUGUCCUUGGACUGCAGAUCGCCAAGAAUCAUACAACUACUUGUUCAGUGCUGUAUUAGGUACUAAACCUAUUGCAGAUCCCAAUAACUGUUGGAGUGACUUCAUAUGAAGUCGUGAACCUGUACAAAGGGCAGAGAGUGAUCGCAUCAAAGGGAGAAGCAGACACAAAUUAAAUUCAGUUUACAGUUAUUUAAUUAAGGAAUUAUGGAUAUGAAACAAUUCAUAACAAUAAGGUUUUGAGUGCUUGAGAUGUCUUAAAAAAUGUCGUAGUCAGCAUCGUUGAAAAUCUGCGAGUAUUGCGUGGAAGAUUAACCCUUGAUUAAGAAAAUCAGCCUCUAAUAAGUCAGUCCCACAACACAGCAUGUUGAUUAGUUUUUUAAUGGUGCUGAGCUGUGUUUGGGAUUUUGACCCUUUAAUAAUUAUAUGAAAUUUGAAUUAAUUAGCA